UGGCCCCAGCGGCCUGGGCUGUCCCGCUUCGCCUCGGGCUCCCUCUCCUCCACUCUCAAGCAGGGAGCUCCGCCUGGCGCACUUCUCUCCGCAGAGUCCUACAGGGGAAUUGCUGCAACUCUACAUGACCUAGGUUUUGAAGUUACAGUGCUCUUGAAACCACUUGCCUCGGGUCAAUCUCAGAUCCUCCAGCCCCAAAGAAAAGACUAAAUUCUUCAAAUAACUGUACUAUUUUAAUCCCGGAAAUAGGAGGACUUACUGUGUCCAUCAGCACUCAUAACAGAGCCA
rnacentral:lncRNA from 1 species